UAGGGAAUCUUCGGCAAUGGACGAAAGUCUGACCGAGCAACGCCGCGUGAGUGAAGAAGGUUUUCGGAUCGUAAAACUCUGUUGUUAGAUAAGAACAAGGACGUUAGUAACUGAACGUCCCCUGACGGUAUCUAACCAGAAAGCCACGGCUAACUACGUGCCAGCAGCCGCGGUAAUACGCAGGUGGCAAGCGUUGUCCGGACUUAUUGGGCGUAAAGCGAGCGCAGGCGGUUUCUUAAGUCUGAUGUGAAAGCCCCCGGCUCAACCGGGGAGGGUCAUUGGAAACUGGAAGACUUGAGUGCAGAAGAGGAGAGUGGAAUUCCAUGUGUAGCGGUGAAAUGAGUAAAUAUAGGGAGGAACGCCAGUGGCGAAGGCGGCUCUCUGGUAUGUAACUGACGAUGAGGCUCGAAAGCGUGGGGGGCAAACAGG
rnacentral:rRNA from 1 species